UACGUAGGGGGCAAGCGUUGUCCGGAAUCAUUGGGCGUAAAGAGCGUGUAGGCGGCCCGAUAAGUCCGCCGUGAAAGUCCAGGGCUCAACCCUGGAAUGCCGGUGGAAACUGUCGGGCUGGAGUCCGGAAGAGGCGAGUGGAAUUCCCGGUGUAGCGGUGAAAUGCGCAGAUAUCGGGAGGAACACCAAUGGCGAAGGCAGCUCGCUGGGACGGUACUGACGCUGAGACGCGAAAGCGUGGGGAGCAAACAGG
rnacentral:rRNA from 1 species